CAGUCCUACGGGAGGCAGCAGUGGGGAAUAUUGGACAAUGGGGGGAAAAAUGAUACAGAGAAGCCGCGUGAGUGAAGAAGUAUUUCGGUAUGUAAAGCUCUAUCAGCAGGGAAGAAAGAAAUGACGGUACCUGACUAAGAAGCCCCGGCUAACUACGUGCCAGCAGCCGCGGUAAUACGUAGGGGGCAAGCGUUAUCCGGAUUUACUGGGUGUAAAGGGAGCGUAGACGGCGAUGCAAGUCUGAAGUGAAAGGCGGGGGCCCAACCCCCGGACUGCUUUGGAAACUGUAUGGCUGGAGUGCAGGG
rnacentral:rRNA from 1 species